UUCAGCUGUGUGACCAGAAGGUGUGGAGCCUGGCUGCACCUCUCCUAGACCCCAUUUAAGGGCUGACUGCCGCUAGGAAGGGUUUCUUUCUAGAGGUCCCUUUUCUAUGGAGUCUUUCCUGUGAACCUAGCUCUUCAGAUACAGGCUAUAGCCUGACCUUGUGGGACAUUAUCACAAGACAGCGAGAAACAAACACUUGCCUGUGGAGAAAGAAACUGGUAGAGAAGUAUCAUAGAAAAGCUUCCACAAGAGCACUGAACGAAGAACCAUACAGGAUAGCAGGAACCUGUACUCCACCAUUCCUUUGAGAGGGACAACAGCCCAAAGCACGUAUGUAAGAGCCCUGCCAGCUGGGGUUGCAGCCCAGCAUGGCAGGCAGUGGGCUGAGCAGGCAGAGUAGGCAGAGACAACUGGCAGGAAAUCACAGAAGCUAGAAAUAGCAGCAGAGAAGCUGAGAGAGAGGACCCAGAGACUGGAAGGAGCAGGUGAGAGAUUACACUGAUCGCUGGAGGAAAAGCACGAGAGAAAAAAACAAAAACAAAAACAAAAAAACCUCUUUGCUACACCUCUAGGAUAUGUCAAAAGUACACAGGUGUUUUAACUUCCCAUUUAUUUUCAUGGAAGAUAAGUCUUCACUGAAGUCAGCUCUGGCACCUUGGAUCUGAGAGUGUAAAACGGCUUAGCUGAGCUUUUUUCUCUCUUGUUAUCCCAGGAAGAGCAUGUCAAGAGAUUGGGAGUGACUGACUGGCAUUCAUAUAGGCUAAUGAUUUGGCCCAUGGAAAUGGUGGAAGAUCUCCCCAGCCCCAAUUCAGCUGCACCUUGCAAGCGCCGCACUUCUGUAUGAUUGCACUGGUAGAAAAAGAGGAUCUGUGCCAUGGCUUUUUGCAGAGCUUUACGUAAGAGCUUCUCAGCACAUCUGUGAAUAGCUAGAAAAAAAUGUCAGGGGAAGUAAUGAUGCAGAGACCAGCCUGAGCUACAAUUCUUCCCUGUAGCUAUCAGGGCAAAGAGAGCUGAAAAGUGUACAGUGCCACUCCUAUUUCAUAAGUUUCUGCACUUUGACUAAAAGGUGCCACUAAAAAUUCUGUCACUUAUACAUGAACUGUUGUUACAACCACUUGUUGGUUGUGAAACUACUAGCAUGGAUUUUUUUCUGAAUGAGAUGUUAACAUGAACACGUACAUACAGACAGACACACUUUUGAAGAAGCAACUUGUUAAGUCUUUCUAAGAGUAUGACAGUUUGAGGUAGUAAUACUUAUAAAAAUGUUAAAAAAUGUUCUAUUUUUCAAACUAGGUAGGAAGCAGUCCUUCACGAUAGGAAGACUAUAACAUCUGCCUGAUGCAGAGAUCAAACUGUAAAAGUCCUGGGCUAGAAGUAUUUCAAAGCAUUUGAAGAUACAACAAAUAUCACUCACACUUUCAUCCCUCAUCAGUUUCAAUUGCACCUUAGUUUGUACUUGGCAGGAGAAUUACCAAACCACUUUCUCCAACUAUAGGUCACCAGAGAUAAGAAAAUGUUCUUACAGACAGGGCAAAGUAGAGCAAGAAAUGCUGUGCAUCUCUGUAUGGAAGGCUAAAUUUAAACCAAGACCAUUCAUUUGUCCACAGCUUACAGUAAAUAUCUGGUUGUAGACCCCAGAGGCACACCAGAAAUGCCAAAUUGACAGAAAAUGUAUAAUAUUAUUUCUCCACAGGCAACAGAGUCAAUCAUGUUUCUUUUAUUAACUGCAAAGCAUCUAAUUCUCAGUUAUGUUAAGGACUGUUUGUAACACUUUAACAUUGUAAAAGAGUAAUAAAUGGGUGUAAAUUGCACUAAAGUUUUCUCUAAUGGCCCCUAUAUUGUCAUAGUGAUCUGUAUUGCAGACAGCUUUGAAUAUCACUGAGGCUGUGGAUUAAGGUUUUCUCCCAGGUCUUUAGAAGAAUUCCUUUGCAGAAGUCCUUAAUUCUCUCCACCUGUGCCCAUCCAACAGAUAGAAUUGCAGUCCUUUUCUUAAUAGGAUAGAGUUGCUUAUCCUAUUGAGAUUUUCAGGUGAGCACUGUGUAAUUUGGACUGUUCAGUAUUAGCCAUCUCUAUCCAAGAACUGAAACUAUUGAAGGUGGCCUGGCUAGUAUUGCCUGCACUGUGAAGAGGAAAGCCUGCUAGCUUUCGGGACUGGUAAGACUUGGAGGGGAUGUCGUAUCAAUCUGGAGGACACGGAAGACUGCACAGCCUGAGAACUGGGCUCACAAGCUAGUUUGGUUAUGGUCUCUAGUCAGGGAAACAGAAAAACAGCAAAAGUGAAUUGAAUCAGGAACAAUGAAUAGCUUUUCACAUAACUUGUGUGGACUUCGUGAAUGCUUGCGUAAACAUAAGUUCAAGAACAGAAUGUGGAGGUUGCAAGAACUUGCUGUCAAGUAAAGAUAAGAAAGCAGGACAGACGUCUUAUUGUUAGAGAUAAGGAAGCAAAACAGAUGCUUCAGCUCAACACACUAGCUGAGGCUCGUUUGUGCUACAGCCCCCUUAAAGGUUAGUAGUUCACUGAGAGGAAAACUCUGAGCCUUUGCGAGGAUGACUACUAACCUUCAUCCAACGACCACCAGAUAGGGCCCAGAGACCCUUCCCACAUUUUAUGACGCAUGCUCAGAAGGGCGGGACAAUAUGCAACACUUUCUCAGAAAUGUAAUGAAUAUGUAUACACUAUGCCUAUAAAUAUGUAGUCACUGCUUCCCUUGGUGUGAAUGUUCAGUGGAGUGAUCCCCCAUGCACCCAGCGCUGUAAUAAAGGAAUACCUGCAUGACAUAACCCAUUGGCAUGUUAAGUUGCUCUGUCAGAUAGCUUGGCUUCAGAAUGAUAGCAGCUGAGAUAUUUGCAAGCCACAAUCAACCCAUUAGUUCCAGGGUCAGCUGUGUUGCAACAAUAUCCAGCUCCCGGGCACGCUGAAUCCUUCUGUACUGCAUGCUUCUGACCUCUGAAGCACAGUAGCCACCUCCUGUGACCACAGAUCAUAAAGUUGCCUUGCAGAUAAAAAUUAUGGAACCUUCCUGAGACUAACAGCUGCGCUAUUGCAAAUAAAUUUAUUUAAAGAUCCUGGUCAAAUGAGUCAGUUUAACAUCAUCAGUGUACUGCAUUUCUGAAUAACACAGGCAUGAUCGUCUGCUUUCAGGGGAGGGAGGAUACUUUCCUCGGUUCUGGGGCUUUGCGGUUGAAGUAUUGGGAUUCUUUCAGAUUAGAUUUAGGGAUAUACUCUUAGAUUCACAACUCCCUUUCAUUCCAGUGGGAAAAAAGAAAUAGAAAGGUCUCUGUGUUACGCUACUUAGGUUCUUUGAUAGCUUCAGAUAUUUUAUGAGGCUUGGCAUCCAAUGUUCAAAUUCUUUCUAAUGAAGAUCCUAAAAUAAUAAGCUUCGAUGAAUAGCACAAAUUAUGUGCUAAUGGAGACAAGUUCCAUGGGUAACAAUAUUUUUGAGCAACUUGUAUUAUCUUCUGAGCAUAUCUGCAAUGAUUUUGUUAUGUGUACUUUAAAAAUGUCAAUUUAUCUAGACUUAGUUUUACAAGUUUUAGUACAUGUAGAAGUGUUGAGAUGAAAAAACAUGCUUAUGAAAAUGUGCAAGGUUUUCCCCGGCUCAGAUACCUCUCAGGAACAGUACAUUACACUGAAGGAAACAGUAUAAAAUUCAUGAAAUGUCCUUAGUUUUUGGAAAAUGGCAAUUGAGCUCCUCAUGUGGAAUAUUGCAUGGUGAGAUUUGUGGUACUUCCUGCUUCUGGCCCUGCACUGAAGGAAUAAUGUAUAUUUUUCACACUGAAAGUACUUCAGCUUUCACUAUUGGGGAUAUUUAUACAUAUGAAGUAAAAACACAGAACAAGCCAAUUCAGUGAACCCUAAAAAUGGUUGAUUUGCAUGAUAGAUAAAAGUCAGAAAUCCUGUGAACAGCAGUGCCCUGGGAAUCUAGUGCUAAUUUGAAUAAUAUUGCAGAACUUUAUUUUGUUAAGUGUCAUUCAUGAGAUUUGUACAGAAAGCAGUACGAAGAUAAAUUUAGAUGAUAACAUUAUUCUUGUUUCCUCUGAUGUAUGCAGGACUUGAUAACAAGCUGAUUGCCUCCUUCUGAUGGAUGUUUACAUACAACAGAUGUUUUAAUUUGAUUAUAUCUGUGAGAUAAGCAGAAUGCUGUGCUAAGUCCAAACACUUUUUAUUAGCCUUUCAAAACAUUUUGCAAUGAAUGUAACCUUUUGUAAAUGUCCUUGCUUGAGGCUGCGUGUGUUCCUGUAACAGUGCAAAUUAUUAGCAACAAGUUCAAACCAGUGAUUAUGCCAAAGAAGAAAACUGCAUUUAACAGAAGCUGUGAUUCUGUACUCUCUGAUAACUUAAACGAAGAGAGCAAUAUGAUGCAAGCAAUGAUACAAGCACAACAGUGUAACACUACUCUGCAGAGCACAGUGUGUUCUUCAGCAAAUGGUGCACAAACUGGGUAGUUUUUAUGAAGAAUGCUGAAAGGCCAAUAUGCUAUGCCAAGUAUCCUGAAUAUGAAAAUGAGCAGUCAAAUGUCAGCUAUGAGAAUGGAGUGCUGCAGGGAACAUAAGUUCUGGUUUGCAGACAAUAUAGGGUUACAAACUUUGACUCUGAUCUGAACUGAAAUGUCAAAAUUCCCCUGAAAAUAAGCCUCUUCCUUCACUGUAGUGAAAUCAAAAUGUUGUAUGUUGAUCUCAUAUUUCAUUUUUUAAAUGUAAAAUACAGAGAACAACCA